rfam:Homo sapiens chromosome 15, GRCh38 reference primary assembly.
UUGGAAGAGACCUUUAGAACAGCUGGUCAUUAUACUAACCGGGUGCCUGCACUAAGUUCAGCAUCAAUAUGGUGACCUCCUGGGAGCGGGGGGCCACCAAGUUGCCUAAGGAUGGCUGAACUGGCCGAGGUCAGAAAGGGAGCAGGUCAGAACUCCCGCACCGACCAGUAGUGGGAAUGUGCCUGGGCAGUAUAGCAAGAUCUUGGUUCUUCAAA